ensembl:rRNA 5S_rRNA 5S ribosomal RNA
GCUUACGGCCAUACCACCCUGAACACGCCCGAUCUCGUCUGAUCUUGGAAACUAAGCAGGGUCGGGCCUGGUUAGUACUUGGAUGGGAGACCGCCUGGGAAUACCAGGUGCUGUAAGCU